rnacentral:guide_RNA from 1 species
AUCACAUAUAACACAACAAUAGACUCAGUUAUAGAGCCUGAUAU